AUUUUAAUUGUUGAUAUGAUAUUAUUAUAUUAUCAUCUACAGGGUUAGUUAUAGAACUGUCCGGUUUUAAAUUA